CAAGAAGAGCUGGAGGAGUCCACAGAUGAGUAUAACAAAAUUUUGGAAGUUGAAACUCAUUUCCUUCAUCCUGUCCUGAGUAAGUCUGGUGUGUGUGAUCCUUUUCCAUUGUCUCCAAAGGUAUAAAGAAUUGAAGUAGCUGCUGAGAAAGAAAUAUCUAUCUAUAACAAAACAAUUAAUUUGUGAAGCCUGGCUACAACUUAGUCACCGAUACUCAAAUUUUUACCUUCAAGCUACCAUAACUCCACGACUGAAGUCACAGUUCACCUUUUCAGCCUUCCAAGGUGCAGUCAUCAGCAUUCUCACAAGUGGGAUUGCAGAAGGACUCGCAGUUGAGUAAUUAAUAAAGUAGAAGACUAAGGUUGACCAGUGGGAUACAAGGAAUCAUUCCCAGGAAGGGAGCAGAAG
ensembl:lncRNA